rnacentral:rRNA from 1 species
UACGUAGGGGGCUAGCGUUGUCCGGAAUCAUUGGGCGUAAAGCGCGCGUAGGCGGCCAGAUAAGUCCGGUGUGAAAGUCACAGGCUCAACCUGUGAAUGCCGCUGGAAACUGUCUGGCUUGAGUCCGGAAGGGGCGAGUGGAAUUCCUGGUGUAGCGGUGAAAUGCGCAGAUAUCAGGAGGAACACCAAUGGCGAAGGCAGCUCGCUGGAACGGUACUGACGCUGAGGAGCGAAAGCGUGGGGAGCGAACAGG